AAAAGUGUUUAGAAAACCUCACCGAAUCCCCACAGUUUCCUUGGGAUUCUCUGGGAUGACUUGGAAUGCCAGUAGAAUCCACACAGGAUGAUUAGAGGGGAGGCUUUCGGCACUCUUGAAAACUCUGUUAUUCUCUCCCUUGGGAAGCUGCUCAAGAACACGUUAUAUUGGGAGUGCAAAGCCACUAGGUCAAUGGAAUCAUUUCUUUGUGACUUGGGAAUUUCUCAGAGCCAGAAAUGUUAUCCAAGCUUCAUCUCUGUGACUGAGGAAAAUUGCAUCAGCUGCGCAUAGGAUACCAGAUCUCGCUCCUGCCACAGGGCUGAGAAGAUAGUAUGCCGAAUAGAUAUUGUGGACAGGCUCACUAGAGACGAAUCAAACAAAAAUACAAGGAAGUUAAAAACCACUUAAAAUUCUACUGCCCGAAUACUAUCACUGUUUUUGCAAAUCUGGGGAAUGAACUUUUAUGCAGAUGAAGAUACAAUUGCCAAAUAAUUGUUUUCAAACUGGGGAUCAGCUACAUCAAAGUUGUGGACCCACAGACUGGGCAAGACCUAAGAGUUUUACAUAAAUCAGUCUAAGGUGUGUACACGUAUGAACUGUCAACCCUGGCAAAUCUGAACCCUUUGUAUCUUCAGCCAGUGUGAGACCUCUUUCACUGUUUGAACAAAGAACUGUAUCUGAGGCCAAACAGUGUGGGUGACAGCAAGGGACAAGGAAAGAAUUUCCACGGCACAUAUCUCUGUCAUGCACCACUGAGCCGGUGGUCAUCCCUUCGAGAUUGAAGAUUGAUGAAGCCGCCAUCUCCAACAUGGCCAACUGCUGUGUCAGAAAGGAACAGAGAGUUCCGGGAGCUCCAGCAUCAUCAGCAACUAAUGCUCUGGAAGUAACACAUAGCACUUCUCUUACAACUCAUUGGCCAGAACUAGACACAUGGUCAGGAAAAGAAAGCUACGAACCACAAUCCUGACAUGGUUGUCCCCGGAUGGGGUGAAGUUUCUCUACAAGAAAUAUAUAUCCAAGAGGUGCAAGGAAUGGACUACUUCAGGAUGGAGCCUCUCACUCCCUCAGCGGCUGGUAACGAUGGCGGGGGCCCCAGAGCUGGGUCCUCCCUCAGCAUUGCCCUCAGUGGGAGAGAGCUAUCUCACUGUAGGACACACUCCAUCUCUAGGGAAGAGCCCAAACCCAGGGAGUACAAAGUAACCAUGUGGCAGUUCUAACAAAGUUUAAAGAUACUUUUCUUGUGUCCUGUGGUGGAAACAUUCCUUCUCUGAAAUUCAGAACUUCUAAACCUACAGCACCCAGAGUUUACAGAGACAGAAAGCUUAAAAUCUCUAUGUGGAUCUGUGAGAAUCAUCAAGGCCAAACCUAAUACUACUUUUCUUUCCUGAGCUCAGAUGUUCUGUCUAUAGGUAUGUAAUAGCAUAUAAGGGCCAUUGAUUUGAAGUGUUUUUUUGUAGAAGAUCCAUCAUUUUCCUUGCUGAAUUUCAGCUGGUCUUUGAAAAUGCAGUUCCUCUCAUCCAUCAGGCCAGUAGCUUUUAGGCAGUGCAGUAAGUGUCAUGAUCAGCAAAUUCAUGGUCACAAUGGUCUGUCCUUCCUGUAAGGGGGGAGGGCCCCUUGGUACAAUGUACACGAUCCUGAGUUAGUGGUUUGAAUGUCCCUGAAAUAUGGUAUUGACUAAAGUUCUGGGAGCAGGACAAUCAUAUCCAUACUCACACUGUGUUGAUUCCAGUCAAGGUUAAAUUGCUGCUUCCUUUAAGACAGGAAGAGUCCAGUGGAACCCAAUUAAUAUGCACUGGCUGGUUGACCUUCUCAGAGAUGUUGCCACAUUGGGGACUCAGUGUUGGUCUCUGUCACUAGCAGCUUGGAUAUUUAGCAGUAGUAGUAGCUGCACCAGCUUUGGUGAAUGGAGCCUAUAAUGCUAAGUCUGUGCUGUACGUGACUCAAAUGUACUAGCACUGGGUUGCCUAAUGUCCCAGGUCCAUUUCCAGUUACACCACCUCCAUCUUACAGGAGACUGCUAUUUGGUUUGUCUCGCCUUAUAACUUGGCACAUGUGACAAAACCCAAACCAUGAUGAAAGGUUCUGCUCACAAGAUCACUACAUGUCCUAUCAUCUUGUCACCAGGGCAGGAGCAUGUCAGGAGCUAUUUUUCAAAUGGUCUAUAAUUCCCUGAUGCUGUUGGUAUAGCUUUCCUCCAGAAACAUAUGGUCCUACACUGUGGUUCUCCUACAGAGGUUUCCAAUAAAUUUAAUAAAGCAUCUGCUUCCACCACAAUGUCCCUAUUGUUAUGCCACAUGCUGUAUAUAGUACCAUAGAAUAUGCCAGGUCUUAUGGCUCAAGCAACAGGGUUUCCUGCAUUGCCUUGGACCUGAGACAGAACUUCUUGCUAGAGUCCUACUCAAAACUGUCAGCCUUCCAUGUCAUUUGUUAAAUGUUUUGGAGCAGUUAUCCCCAUGUGGAAUACCCUGCUUCCCAAAUGCAAAGAGACUGACCAGACACUCCCUCCUUCUAAGUGGUGAGAGACGCAAGCGGCAACAAUGCCUCUUUUAUUACCAGGGGAGAAUGCUCCUGCAUGCUCCAUUGAUGUUCUAAACCUUUUCUGAUAUGGCUGGCUCCAGAGUCUUUACCCCGGAGCAAAUGUGGCUUACCAAAAUGUCAAACACACUUGCUCCUUACUGAUCAUCUGAUUUAUUUAAUAUUACGCCUUUGAUACAGUGGGCCAGCGUGAUGUUCUGCAGAAUGUCCAGAGAGUCCAUGUCCCUUUGGACUAAUUAAGAUAGAAGGUGGGGGGAGAUUAACACAGCCGUGGGGCAAGCCUGCAUAGGCAUACUUUUGUCUGUUCCAUGUGCAGGCAAACUCCUGCUAAUUCUCCUUCCUGAUGUGGUUCAAAG